rnacentral:lncRNA from 1 species
UUUGUCCAAGUUCAGUUUAUCUGGCAGCUCAGAUUUCAGUGUGGACAGAAGAAGACAGGUCUGGUGCAGAAAGGGAGUUGUAAAUUUUCUGCAAGGAGACAGGCAAAGGAAAUUCUGCAUUUAUUCAGAGACAGGAUAAUAGACAGCUGAAAUGGAGACCAGCAGGACAUACAGGAGUGGUGAGAAGCUGAGAAUAACCCAUCAAAGGGUUAACCCACCUAAUAAAGUGAUGUGAUAGUCAGGAGGCAACCUAAGAGUGGGCAGAACAGGAAAAAGUCAGAGAAGAUUUAGAUAGCAGGGAGAGUUUAGUAGAGUCUGUGAAACCUGAUGGUCCAGGCAAGAUAAAUCUGGCAUGUGGGAUGGAAGGCCUUUUUGUUUGCAGAAUUUUAUCUUAAAAAAAAAAAAAAAAAAAAAAAAAAAAGAAAAGCUUCUCUAAUUUUGAGCCUCUCCUUCCAUCAAGUAAUUGCCAAGGAAUGCUUUAAAUUCUUACCUCAUUAGCUUUGGCACAGGCGAGGCAGGCAGGAACUGCUCUGUGUCUGGAUCCCAUGGAACCAGUUUUGGACAUGCAGCUGGCAGCCCCUUUCUAGGCUAAGAAAGCUGAGCAGUUUCUUUUUCCCAAGAAAAGCUGCGGGUUCCACCCCCUACUUCUUUCUGUGGGGCAGACAGAAACCAAAAAAGAGUGAAGCAUCACUGAGGUAAAACAGGAAUGGCCUCAGUCAAAAUGUCAGGACUUGGUGCUGAAGAGAGAGUAAGGCUGGGAAGCAGCUGGGUCCAACAUGACAAAUGCUCACUGUGCUGAUGGCUGUCAGCCAUAGGACAGCAGGUGAAGCUUUUGGCAAGUGGUACACAUUGGUUGUGCCACUGAUCCUAACAUGAACUUAGGCUUCUGCAGACUUAUAGCAAUGUUUUGUGUAGAUCAGAACUGAUAAAAGUCCAUUUAUGGUGACAUUUUUUUCCAAGAUAGGUUGAAGCAUCAGACCUUCAUUUAUUGUCCUCUACAAGGGUCUGACUUCCAGGCUCCUUUUGACCUCCCAAGUUUCCCAGGCAUCUCAGCACACACCUCUCCAAAGAGGGGAGCACCAAGAGACCCGUGUAGGUCCAGUCACUGGCCAAACCAGCAAUGCUCAAGUCCAUUCCAGUCUGAGGGACUCUGUCUGGAAUGAAAGCAACAGGCUAUCCACCAAGUGCAAUAGUGGUUUUUCAAGAAGGGCUUAGCUUCAAAGUUAUUAUGAGACCCUUGUGGUUAGCGCACUUCUCAGAAAGUGGAAGUUAUAUGGAGGUGCUUCUUGGGCAUGAGUAAUUUUCUUAGGCAAUGCUCCAAAAUCUCUGGCUUCCGGCCAGUCCUAAGCUCUUCUAGGAUUCCUGGGAAAUAGGUUUUCCCAUUUGAGCUCAUUGUGUACUCAAUGCUACCCACUUACUCCAUGUAGCACUGGUUGUGUGAGGUGUUGAGGGAACAUUUCCUUUAAACAUCCAGGGUAGGACAGGCAAUCACAGUGCCAAGAGGUGACAUGCUUCUGUCCCAACAACUUCUGAGGCAGCUCAAACUCCCUUAGAGGCAGCUAACAUUGCUCUUUCAGCUGGAGUACAGUGGGCCUCUGAUCCUCGAUAACAAUGGCUCCAAAACCCUAGUGCUCUACCUUGGCUUUCUCCUGAGGUCCUUUGCCACAGGCUCCAGGUGAAGGCCCUUGGUGGAAGGGAAGGGAUGUUACAGGGACAGUGCUGCUCAGCAGUAGCCAAAACACUGGUGUGUUAUCAACAGCCUUCCAGCUAUUGAUGCCAAGCACAGCAUAGUGAGGGACAAACGAACUCUAUCUCAGUCAGACCCAACAGAGAUAUGCUGCUGCCUCUGAGGGUUUACAUAUACACAAUCUCCACACAGAGAAACCAAUUCCUUAGCAUAGUUUUUAAAGAGUCUUUGGUGGAAAAAGAGGAAAGGAUGGAAAUUCUCCAGCCUUUUUACUGGACUUUACUACCACAGAGAACAAAACAGUGCAUAUUUGUAAACCUUUGUGUAAUACACAUUGCACGGUGCAAGUGUUCUUCCUGCCUAAUCUCAAAACACAUAAAAUGGAGCAAGAGAUGGCCAAGGCCCAAGGGGAAUUUUGAGAAAAAUAGAAGGUCUUUUAUAAUGAUGCAGAAGAAAUAAUUUAGAAAUUUUUCUCCUGAAAAUAGGUGUCUGGAUAAACAUGAUUGAAUCAUCUAAGUAAAUUGUGGAACUGAUCAGUGCAAGAGGUAAAAAUAUAGAAGGGUUUUCCAAGUGAUCGGCCAAAUUAAUGGAAAAUAUAUGGCUAGUACUUAGAUAAUGGCAUCAUCCUCAUUCUCAUUACUAUUAUUAUUACCUGGCUUAAUAUUCAGUGUUCUGGUUACCAUUGACAAGGAAAUCCAAAACCAUGGGAUGCUGGAAUGGGGUAAAUAAGUCAGGGAAGGACCAUUUUGUACCAGCUGUUCCUUAUGUUCCUUCCCUAAGCACCCACAUCUGCCAGGGAUAGAACACUGGCUUUCUGGUCUGACUAAAUUAUGUUCUUACAAAAUUCAAUGUUAAUUGGGAAGCAGGCAUAGUAAAAAGGACAGACUUCAGGCUAUGAGGCAGGCAUUGGAAGCUGGAUUGGAAUUCAAGCAGUCACUAGUAGAGUAGAGAAGAGAACUGGCAACUUAGAAGAGGUCCCCUAGCAGGUAAAUUCCCAGCCUCCAGCAAGCACAUGCCCUACUCCAGUAGGAGCCUUGUCCAUGCCUGGGGGCUCCUCCUUGGGGAUGGCUGUUAGUGGCUGAACAUGCAACUGAAUUAAAGUCUUCAUCUUUCUAGGUGGUUCUUCCAAACACAGUAGUGCUGCACAGGAGACAACCAGACCAGCAGCAGCCCUGUUACUAUGUUCCUUGACAGUAGGGUGAAGCCUGCCCAGCCCUCUCAGCAGUCAGACAGAAUAGGUAAGUGCCUCUCCUGAGAUGACUGAGGCCUCUCACAGGCCUUGACUAUGCAGAACAUAAAGAAAGCCCCACUGUUUCCUACUGACUUUGCUAUGCAGCAGCAUUUUCAGCUGUUCUGCUCCAUGCUCCUGUUCUAGGUGAACACAAGUGAGUCACAUCAUCUCUCUAACUAAAGUAGUGUAUUAAUCUACCUCUAGUUGCUCUCAUGCCCUGACUACUUUCCCAGUGAUGUCUUAUAAUCUGAUUAAUUGGUACAGGGCACAUCCUGGGCAACAUUGUUCUAACAUUAACUAGACACUUUGAUGGAAUUACUUGUUACUUUGAAUCAUAGAAUGGAUACCCAGCCCUACCCCUUAGGCAGAAAACAUUUGGGGCUCAGAUACAGUCUAAGGAAAGCAUAAAUGUCCUGUCUGGUCACAUAUUUGUACAAAAAUAUAUGGUUAGCUUAUUCCCUGCAUGGUCCUAGCUCAAGCUCCUCUGCACUCUGCAGGCACAGCCCAUGAGUCCCACGAGCAGGAUGCAGCCACACUGUUCAAAGGCAGGUAGAGUUUAGCUGUAUGAUGUUGUGGUCUAACCCGAGCCAGCAGCCAAGCCCUGCACAGCUGCUCACUCACUCCCUCAUCUGUGGGAUCAGGGAGAGAAUCAGAAAAGUAAAAGCUAGAAAAUCUGUCGGUCGAGAUAAAAACAGUUAAUGGAAAAAGAAAAUGCCACACAUGCAAGCAAAACAAAACAAGGAAUUAAUUCACUGCUGCCCAUGGCAGAUGUUCAGCCAUCUUCAAGAGAGCAGGGCCCCAUCACAUGUGACAGGGACUUGGGAAAAAAAUGCCACCACUCUAAGUGCUCCCGAAUCAUUUUUCUUCCCCCCACUUUAUAUACUGAGCAUAAUUCCAUAUGGUCUGGAAUAUCUCUUUGGUCAGUUUGGGUCACCUGUGUCUCCUUCCAGCUUCCCAUGCACUUCCAGCCUCCUCACCAGUGUGGUACUAUGAAAAGCAGAAAAGGCCUUGGUCCUGUGUAAGCCCUGCUCAGCAAUAACAAAAACAUCUCUGUAUUAUCAACCCUGCGUUCAGCACAAAUCCAAAACACAGCCCCAUACCAGCCACUGUAAAGAAAAUUACCAUAGCCAAAGUCAGCACAUGGAUACAAGUAAAGGUGGAAGGUGAAUCAGCCCCCCUGAAUAUUUCAUUUACUCCUACAGACAUAGCUACAUCUGUAUGUGCCUCCCACCAACUUCAAUUGACAAAACCAGGUUAUAGCUAUAAAUGAGACAAAAUGACAUCUUAAAUUUCAUGUGCCCAAAUACUUUCUUGGUUUUGUCACCUGACUCUCUACAGAACUAGAAGAAUGUUACACCUUUGGGGCUGCAUCCAGCAGUACUUGAUAGCAUAUCACAUACUAUACGGGACUGAAGGAGCCCUUCACAGAUGAGGAGCCUGGUCAAGCACCACAGCUCCAGGCAAUAGCAAAGCCUCAGAAAGUUAUGAUUCAACCUUGCGUAAAUCAAGCACCAUUUGAGGUCUCAUAUAACAAAUAGUUUUUUAUAUACACUGUCUUCAUGUCCAGCUUCUUCUAAAACAUCUAAAAGCUACAUCCUUACUUUGUGUCUGAAAUAGGAAAGAGGUUCUCAUGCAUGGAGGGGGUCUAAUAUCACUGCCUGUUACCUGUAAUGCAUGCAGGAUGCUUUCCUGAUAAAGGAAAGUGCAGUUCAAGCGCAUAACAAUUUGGAAGUUAGGGAAUAGAAGCACAUAACAGUUGAGGUUGGAAGGUGUCAGUGCUUGGCACCAAUCAACAGUGGAUGGGAACUGACUGUCACCAUUAGUUUAACAUCUUACCGUAAAACUUCCAUACCUUCUCUCUGUGAGUUCUCACAGGCAGCUCCUCGCAACGCUGACUCCUUUUCUCUUUCUUCCACACCACUGGCUGACUUCUUCCUGGCCCUAUCAGAAACACCUAAUUCUUUCCGUGCCCCUAGUAGAACAUACUAACCCUUACUGUCCCUAGCACAACCACCUGACCCUUACUCCUUGCAGAAGCACAGCCAACUGACUCCAUCUCUCAAUUACCUAAUCCACUCUUUUAUAACACCCAUCCUUACUGGACACAGCUGUGACCUAUUAAGGGCAGGCCUGCUCCUACUGCUUGGUAAUUAGUACAGCUGCAACUCCUCAGGGGCAAGAUUGCCUUCAGCACUAUCUCUAUUCUCCUAUAAUCCAUCCUCCCACAGGAAGGGACCUGUAGAGAUCGUUUAGUCUACUCCCUGCCACCCUUCUUAAGGCAGGGUCAGCUAGAACACUCCACCUAAGACCACGUCCUCAUGGCUUUUGAAUAUCUCCACAGAUGGAGACUCUACAGCCUCUCUGGGCAACCUGUGCCAGUGUUUGGCUAUCCUCACAGUAAACAUGUGUUUUCUUAUUUUAGAUAGAAUUUCCUGUGUUUGAACAUGUGCCCAUUGCCUCUUAUCCUGUUGAUAUCUGAGAAGAGGCUCUGCCUUCUUCAUAUCAUCCCAUCAGGUAUUUAUAUCCAGUAAAAAGAUUCCCCCUGAGCUUUCUCUUCUCCAGUCCAAACAUUCCCAGCUCCCUCUGCCUUUCUUUAUGUGACAGUUGCUCCUGCCCCUUAAUCAGCUCUCAGAUACUUCAUGGGACCCAGUCCAUUGAGGUCAUACUUUUCUUGUCCAGGAGAGCCCAGCGCUGGCACAGCAUGCCAGAGCUGAGCAGAGAGCAAGUGUCACUUCCCUCAACAUGAUGGCCACACUUUGCCUGAUGCAGCCCAGAGUACUAUUAGCCUUUUUUGCCAUGAGGGAAAAUUGCUGGCUCAUGGUCAGCUUGUCCACCAAGACACUCAGGGCCUUUUUUUUCCCAUGUUAUUUUCCAGCUGGUUGGACCCUAGUCUGUACAGAUGCAUGGAGGUAUUCCUCCCCAGGUGUAGGACUUAGUAUUUUUUUCUAUUGAGCUCAAUGAGAUUCCUCUCUGCCCCUUUCCCCAGGCUGUCCAAGUCCCUCUGAAUAGAAUCAGCCACUCAUCACAAUUUUGAACCAUUAACAAGCUUGCUGAGCUUGUCCCAUCACCCAUCUCCAAAGUUAUUAAUGAAGAUAAGUAAUAGUGGUCUCAGUAUCAGCCUUUGGGUACACUCCUAGUAACAGGCCUCCAGAUGGACUUUGGCCCAUUGAUCACAAUCCUUCAAGCCUGUCAAUUCACACAGUUGUCAGUUCAUCUCAUUGUCCACUUAUCAUACACAUACUUCUCUGCUUGUCUAUGAGGAUGUUACAGGUGACAGUUUUGAAACCCUGGCUAAUGCUAAGAAAGAGAACAUCCACUCAUCCACCAACCCACUCUUCUCAUUGUGGAAGAUCAUGAGUUUGGAUAAGCACAAUUUCCCUUUCAUAAAUCCAUGUUGGCUAUUCCAAGUCACUUUGAUCAAACAGGGCUUCUUCCACUUGCCUGAAGAAUACCUCAGCUAUUACUUCUUUCCAAUCCAGUAAUCUGUACAAGAUACACACAACUACAUAACCCAAGUUUGUCUAUUCACUAGUACAAAAUGAAUGACCAUUCAGCUUCAGGCAGGUUUCUAACGUAGUCCAAUGGACAGUGAUUGAGUUGUGUCAGAGAUACACACAAACACAGAGAGGAAAAGAUCAGAAAAUGCAUCAUGGUUGGUCCAGCACGAUGCUAUUUUUUGAGAUUAAGCAGCCAGAACACUACUGUGUGUGAUGGAGCAUCAUAAGUCUGCUCUGAAUAUCCCAGACUAAAGGACUGUAAAACUAAAAGCAGAAAGGGAUCUUCUCCACAUAGAAGUUUUUUAGGGCUCUAAAUACUGCAUCAGAAAGUUUGGGCAGGAUGUAAGGAGCAAAUCCUGAUGUUCUGAAGGCAGACACCACCAGGAAGGAUAUCCCUCCUUGAUUCCCUGCUACUCCCCACUCUGCUCUUACAUUUUGGGGCAUAGCCAGGAUCCAUAGAAAAACAUAGCACCAAUGCAGUUUUAAUAGGUGUUAUGCUUCCUCAAAUUUGUACCAUAAAGCCUGAUUGUAUCCAUGAAUGUUUUAUGAGGUCAUUACCUGUGUCAGGUUACACAUGACAGAUAGGAAGUCACAUCAACAAUUUGGUUUCAGCUGACAGAGCAUGAGCAUCUCCUCAUAUCUCCAAAUUGGGAUGAAUGAUGUCCUCAUAUCCUUAACCUCUGCUGAUGCUUGCCAUCAUCUUCUAGCUUGGUACCCUUCUCACAGACCACUGGAGAAACUUUCCUGAUCUUCUAAGCACAAAUUCACAUACCCUCACUGUUUACAGAUUUCCAGCGCAAGACAUAUUUCUCAUGCUACUGACUUCAUAUUUCACUCCUCAACUUCAACCCCAUAUGGCAUUUGUUUAAAAGAUAUCACACCUCAGAGCAGAGAUGUGUUACUUAUGAAGACUA